rnacentral:rRNA from 1 species
UUCCAGACUCCUACGGGAGGCAGCAGUGGGGAAUAUUGCACAAUGGGGGAAACCCUGAUGCAGCGACGCCGCGUGAGUGAAGAAGUCUUUCGGUAUGUAAAGCUCUAUCAGCAGGAACGAGACAAGACGGUACCUGACUAAGAAGCCCCGGCUAACUACGUGCCAGCAGCCGCGGUAAUACGUAGGGGGCAAGCGUUAUCCGGAAUCACUGGGUGUAAAGGGAGCGUAGACGGCUGUGCAAGCCUGAAGUGAAAGGCGGGGGCCCAACCCCUGGACUGGUUUGGGAACUGUACGGCUGGAGUGCAGGAGAGGUAAGUGGAAUUCCUAGGGUAGCGGUGAAAUGCGUAGAUAUUAGGAGGAACACCAGUGGCGAAGGCGGCUUACUGGACGGUAACUGACGUUGAGGCUCGAAAGCGUGGGGAGCAAACAGGAUUAGAUACCCGCGUAC